CAGCCAUCCACAGCCCAUCCUCUGAACCCUGUCCUUAUCCAACGCUCACGCAAGCCAAUAUCCGCCCCCUGCCCUGAAGCCGCGUGGAGGGGACACGGCAUGGGGGUGGAGGGUGGGGGGGCGGCUGGGGGAGAAGGGCUGAGCCUGGAGACCGCGUCCUCAGCCUGUUUCAGGGUUCUUCUGGGAGCAGUCUCCAGCCCUCUAUGUGCCUGCCCUCCCUUGAGGAGGAGGCCACAAGGCCUUAUUCUCACGUGACAGGGAGGCCUCAGAGCUGCCAUGGGGGUCUCAGUCGUUGCGAUGAGGCCCGAUGAUGCCAGGAAGGGCCAGCUGAACCACCAGCACCUUCAACCACCUGCCAGGUUGUAGGGUUCCCAGCCAGCAGACCCUGGCCGCUAGGAUGGCAAUCUCUGCAGUUACGCCUGGAUUUGACCCCCAGCUCCAAAUGUGGCUGUUCCACUGAUGGGCUGUGUGUCUUCAUGGAUGAACCACUCCGUUUCUCCACAAGUGUGUCCGGGUGGACCUCCUCUGCCCGUUCAAAACAUUCUGUGACCGCUUGUUUCCUGAGGCUCCUGCAGCAGAACCCCCUCCUCUCCCACACUCAGCGCUCACAGCUGAGCCGGGAGUGGAACUCUGUGGAAUAUGCUGGAAUCCCAAACUGAGGGGAAAGAGCCCACAGAAACUGGAGAGGACAGCUGUGCCUUGUGAGUUCUCCUCCCUCAUAGGGUCCAUCUACUAAUCAAGACACGGGGGUGGUGAGGGCCUGGAGUGCCUGGGUUUGCACCUUCACGGAACAAGCAUUAAUUGAGGGCUCUGUAACGACACACAGCAUGCUCUGCAUGGGGUUACAGCAACGAGCCUGUCAGAUGAGGACCCUGCAAUCCAGCAGCUCCAGUGAGGUAUUUUCAGACCUCAGGGCCUCCAGAGCAACAAGCCCUUUCCCAAGCAGCUACUGAAGGACAAUCUCCACCUAAACAAAAAUGUGAACCAAUGGUGAGGAGGACAUGGACAGUGAGGAGUAUCUCAGCUACCCUGGGGUCUGACGAGAGCCACGCAGGGGUGAGGGCUUCAGCUUCCCUGCAGCCCACACCAGGCCAUGCGGGGUCAAGGUUCUGCACACUCGGAGCAAAGCAAUGAAGCAGGUCUGUACCGUCCAGGCCCUGCCACCCCAUCCACAGGGCUGGCAUCUCUGACACCCUGAGAUGGACACCAUCCAUGACAGGGGUGGAGGGGGACACAAUGAGGGCACCCAGAGAUCUCACUGGCUCUGGGACAAACAGGCCCAGCCUGGCAGUGAAACUGGGCUCAGUAUGUCCCUCUAUCCAAACCCUAACCCUCAUCUUGGAAAUCCCCAAGAACUGGAACCCAAACCUUGGAAAUUCCUUACAGUAGGGGGAGCAGGAACUCAGUGCCAAGGUGGGGGUAGCGGGGCUCAGUCUGUUCCCUCGUGCGCUGGAACACGCCACCUGGCUCUGAAGGCUCUGCCACGCUGUGACAAGGGAUCAUUUCAGGUGCAGGAUCUCGACUUCUCUCCUCAGUGGGCAGGGGUCUGCAACAGCUCUCCCACGUCCCUUAUACUCAGGGCGACCCUCUCUCCCACGGUUCUCUCAUCAGGUCUAGGUUAGAGUUCCUCCUGAAGCCAUUCUGGAUGUGGCUGAAUCAUCUCUCCAGGCCGAGUUUGCUCCUGGCCAGGGUAAAAAAAUAAAAAAUAAAAAAGGAACAAAGCUCCAACACACGCUAUAAUGUGGGUGAAACUUGACAACAUCACACUAACGAAAAAAGACACCAAAGGCCACAUGUCCUACGAUUGUCUUCAUACAAAAUGCCAAGAAAAGGCAAAUCCGUGCACACAGCAGAUGGGAAGAGAGGAGAGACUGGUGAAGACAGCACAGCUCUGUGAAUAUACUGAAAACCAGUGAGUUGUACAUUCUGAAAGGGUGGAUUCUAUGGUAUGUGAACAUCUCAGUUUAAAAAAAGAGAGACUUUUGAACAGAUCAUUUCUGAAACCAAAGAGAAGUAGCAAAAGGCUAGCAGAAGAGAAAAACCACCACAGGAAAUCACUUGAGAAACAUCACCCCAAAGUCUCAGUUCCCCUUGCGAUAAAGGGCCUCUGAAAUGCUCUCAGACUAACUCUUCCCAUCACACUACCCUCUCCACCCAGUGGGCACCCCCCCCACACACACACACACACACCCGUGGGGCCCUCAGCUCUUCCUCUGGCCCCACCCAGGAGCCCAGACUGGAUUUGUAUAGUGGAAUCCCCACUGCUGGAUAAAAAUACACACGCUGAGGGAAGUAGGGAGGGUUCACAGUGGGCUUGCCACUUCCGCAUGGGCUUCAGCUCCUGGCACUGAGCCAGUGCCAGGGGUAGCAAAGUGAGCACACCCAAUUUCCAAUGAACUCAGUGAAGCUCUUCCACAAGGGCCCACACCGCACCACAAACACCCUCCCCUGUGCCCCUCAGGAAUGAAGCCCUGAAGCCCAAGACCAAGUUCAGUGAGACCCAUGCAUUUGGAAGAAUACAGAUGGAGCUGUUUUCCUGC